rnacentral:misc_RNA from 1 species
UUUUUUUUCAAGACUGCCUGACACAAUUCAUUUCCUUUUUCCGAUCUCGUCUUCUUCAACCUGGGUACUGUAAAUAGUAUGUUCUAUGCAUUGUUUAGUUUCUCAUCCAAAUUUUUGUUCGUGUGAUUGAUUUUGAUGAGAACUAAGCUCCACAUAAUUGUGCAUUAUUACACUGUGUAUAUCAUCGAUCAAGAAAUUUUGUUUUUGGUUCUACCUUAU